UAACCAUGAGUAAAGUGGCGCACGGGUGAGUAACACGUGACUAACCUACCCUGGAGUGGGGGAUAACUGAGGGAAACCUUAGCUAAUACCGCAUAACACCUACGGGUCAAAGGAGCAAUUCGCUUUAGGAGGGGGUCGCGGCAGAUUAGCUAGUUGGCGGGGUAAUGGCCCACCAAGGCGGUGAUCUGUAUCCGGCCUGAGAGGGCGCACGGACACACUGGAACUGAAACACGGUCCAG
rnacentral:rRNA from 1 species